rnacentral:rRNA from 1 species
GAUGAACGCUGGCGGCGUGCUUAACACAUGCAAGUCGAACGGCGCACUUUAACCUGCUACUUCGGAUGAAGGUUUUUGUGACUGCGUGGCGGAUGGGUGAGUAACGCGCGGGUAACCUGCCUCAUACAGGGGGGGAACUGAUAGAAAUGUCUGCUAAUACCGCAUAAGACCACAGUGCCUCAUGGCCCGGUGGUAAAAACUCCGGUGGUAUGAGAUGGACCCGCGUCUGGGUAGGUAGUUGGUGGGGUAACGGCUUACCAAGCGAACGAUCAGUAGCCCAACUGAGAGGGUGACCGGCCAGAUUGGGUCUGAGACACGGCCCCAGCUGCGACGGGAGGCAGCAGUGUGGAAGACUGCACCAGGGAGGAAGCGCGGAUGAAGCAACGCCGCGGGAGCGAAGAAGUAUUUCGGUAUGGGAAGCUAUAUCAGCAGGGGAGAAAAUGACGGUACCAGACGAAGAAGCAACGGCUAAAUACGUG